rnacentral:rRNA from 1 species
GACGAACGCUGGCGGCGUGCUUAACACAUGCCAGUCGAACGGAAAGGCCCUGCUUUUGUGGGGUGCUCGAGUGGCGAACGGGUGAGUAACACGUGAGUAACCUGCCCUUGACUUUGGGAUAACUUCAGGAAACUGGGGCUAAUACCGGAUAGGAGCUCCUGCUGCAUGGUGGGGGUUGGAAAGUUUCGGCGGUUGGGGAUGGACUCGCGGCUUAUCAGCUUGUUGGUGGGGUAGUGGCUUACCAAGGCUUUGACGGGUACCCGGCCUGAGAGGGUGACCGGCCACAUUGGGACUGAGAUACGGCCCAGACUCCUACGGGAGGCAGCAGUGGGGAAUAUUGCACAAUGGGCGGAAGCCUGAUGCAGCAACGCCGCGUGCGGGAUGACGGCCUUCGGGUUGUAAACCGCUUUCGCCUGUGACGAAGCGUGAGUGACGGUAAUGGGUAAAGAAGCACCGGCUAACUACGUG